UACGGAGGGUGCAAGCAUUAAUCGGAAUUAUUGGGCGUAAAGGGCGCGUAGGCGGAUUAGUAAGUCAGAUGUGAAAUUCCGGGGCUCAAUUUCGGAGCUGCAUUUGAAACUACGAAUCUUGAGGAUUGGCGGAGAGAACGGAAUUCCACGUGUAGCGGUGAAAUGCGUAGAUAUGUGGAAGAACACCGGUGGCGAAAGCGGUUCUCUAGCUAAAGCCUGACGCUGAGGCGCGAGAGCAAGGGGAUCAAACAGG
rnacentral:rRNA from 1 species